UUGACCUCGAAUCAGGUANGAAUACCCGCUGAACUUAAGCAUAUCAAUAAGCGGAAGA
rnacentral:rRNA from 1 species